rnacentral:sRNA from 1 species
UAAACAUAAUCAAAGAGAAAAUUAAAAAUCUCAAUAUAAAUAUGUAUAUAUAUACGCUAUACAUUGUCGAAAUCAAGUAUUGUUAAUAUGUUUAUCUUAUCGGACGAAAAAAUCAUCAAAAUAGAGAAAGUAUUUUUGUACGAUAAUAAUUCGUUUGCAUAUCCUGAAGAGGCCAUUAACUUUGCAGAAACCAAAAUAUCUUGCAAUGACAAAUUAAUAAGUUAUGUUAUUGAAAUCCCUAAAACUCUGGAAAAUUAUUGUAAAAAAUUGAUCUUAAUCCCUACCAAAAGAAACAAUACCAUAUUAAAAUCAAAUUUUGAAAAAAAAGUUCUUGACUGCAAAGACAUCUUUGGAAUAGAAAAAAGUUGCAACUGAUAAAUGGGGUCACUCUGUACAUAAUUAAAGACAUAACAAAUUUAACAAGUAAUUAUAGUAUCUCAAACUACACAGCAAAUAUGGCUCAUAAUUGUUCUUUAAACAAAACUGUACGCAUUAAAGAAAUUGAGUCAGGCCUUGUAUUGCUGAAUAAUUUUAAAGGAUGUAUUUUUGUAAACGAAUUUGAACAUAAAUAAAUGGCAGUUAUUUGAUAAGAUUUCAUAAUGCCUGAGUAAAAAUAAAUGAUUUAAUGUGUGAGUCAAGAGAAAUUACACACUCAAAGUCUUUGCAAGCCUUGCAACAACACGUUUCAGCGGGAAAUAAUAUGGAAGAAAUUCUGUCCUAAGAACUCUUAAAAUCAUUACAUGUGAAGAACAAUCAGCGAAUAGAGCGAUUAAACUUUAAAUUAAACUUUGUUAAUUAAGCGAGACGCUUGAGAUUGGAGUAUACUUUUACCAUACCCAGAAAAUGUCACUUGCCAAAUUUUAGACAAAUUGGAACAAAAAUUUGGGUAUCGAAGCAAAAAUUUCAAAAGUUUUGGGUACGUUAGUAUGGGACCUUCACCUAAAGUUGGACCCAUAUAGACCAUAUUCCCAUUAUAUAGGCUUAAGAUGUUUAAUUUAGAUAUCGAUCUAUAUGGUAGCUACAUCUAAAUAUAGACUGAGGAACUGAAGAUUUCAAAUCUGGAGUCCAAUCUUUACGGGAGCAAUGAAAAGAUAUAAUAUUAUACAGCCCAUACACGAACAUAGUCGGUUAAUGGAUAAAAAAUACAAUUGUGCCAAAGUUCAGCUUCCAUAACCAUAAAACUAUUAAGAUGAAUCAUACACUUACUUAAAAGGACGAGAUCCAAAAAAUUUUGCUUGGAUAUGGCACGAAUUAUUAUUAUCUGAAUACCUCUGCCGAAGUUCGUCAAAUUGAUUCAACCAUGCAAUAAUACUACCAAAUGUUGCCUUUCGUAGAAGUAACUAUUCAGUUUAAAAAAUAUAUUUAACACAAAAAGAAAAUAAACAAAAGACAAAUGAA